CAAAACCGGCUACGCAUUUCAAAAAAGUGCUAACACAACUUAGAAUGUUGAAAGGUUGAGUGUUAGCGUGGAUGCUAGUGGCAAACGGGUGAGUAACGCGUAGGCAACCUGCCCUUCAGAUGGGGACAACACUUCGAAAGAGGUGCUAAUACCGAAUGACGUAUCCAUUCCGCAUGGAAAGGAUACCAAAGGCCGGGCAACCGGUCACUGAAGGAUGGGCCUGCGUCUGAUUAGCUGGUUGGUGGGGUAACGGCUCACCAAGGCGACGAUCAGUAGCCGGUCUGAGAGGAUGAACGGCCACAUUGGGACUGAGACACGGCCCAAACUCCUACGGGAGGCAGCAGUGGGGAAUCUUCCGCAAUGGGCGCAAGCCUGACGGAGCAACGCCGCGUGAGUGAAGAAGGUUUUCGGAUCGUAAAGCUCUGUUGAGAGGGACGAGAGGCAAGGCUAGGAAAUGAGCUUUGUAGGACGGUACCUUUCGAGGAAGCCACGGCUAACUACGUGCCAGCAGCCGCGGUAAUACGUAGGUGGCGAGCGUUGUCCGGAAUUAUUGGGCGUAAAGGGAGCGCAGGUGGGAAAGUAAGUCAGUCUUAAAAGUGCGGGGCUCAACCCCGUGAGGGGAUUGAAACUACUUUUCUUGAGUGCAGGAGAGGAAAGCGGAAUUCCUAGUGUAGCGGUGAAAUGCGUAGAUAUUAGGAGGAACACCAGUGGCGAAGGCGGCUUUCUGGACUGUAACUGACACUGAGGCUCGAAAGCCAGGGGAGCGAACGGGAUUAGAUACCCCGGUAGUCCUGGCCGUAAACGAUGGA
rnacentral:rRNA from 1 species